rnacentral:tRNA from 1 species
GGUAGCUUGGCCGAGUGGCCUAAGGCAGCGGCUUGCUAAGCCGUCGGGUCAGAAAUGGCCCCGUAGGUUCGAAUCCUACAGCUACCGCCA